AUUGAACGCUGGCGGCAGGCCUAACACAUGCAAGUCGAACGAGUGGCGGACGGGUGAGUAAUGUCUGGGAAACUGCCUGAUGGAGGGGGAUAACUACUGGAAACGGUAGCUAAUACCGCAUACCAUCAGAUGUGCCCAGAUGGGAUUAGCUAGUUGGUUGGGUAACUGUUCACCAAGGCGACGAUCCCUAGAUGGUCUGAGAGGAUGACCAGCCACACUGGAACUGCGUCACGGUCCAGACUCCUACGGUAGGCAGCAGUGGGGUAUAUUGCAAAAUGGGCGCAAGCCUGAUGCAGCCAUGCCGCGUGUAUGAAGUGGGUCUUCGGGUUGUAAAGUACUUUCAGCGGGGAGGCGUUACCCGCAGAAGAAGCACCGGCUAACUCCGUGCCAGCAGCCGCGGUAAUAC
rnacentral:rRNA from 1 species